rnacentral:tRNA from 1 species
GCCUGGGUGGUUCAGUCAGUUAAGCAUCUGACUUUGGCUCAGGUCAUGAUCUCAUGGUUCGUGAGUUCGAGUCUCAUAUCGGGUA